UUAUAAUAUUUUUUGUAGAAAACAAAAAAUUAUCGUAAUUUCCAAUCAUACGUAAUAAAUAAAGUUUUCAAACGUAUUGCGUUUGGUUCGGGUAUAAAUAAGAACUGCUUAUUAUAAGAAUGGAUAAGUUGGUAUAAGUAGGAAUUAGACCAAUUUUGUGUUUGGAAAAAAAUUGGGUUGUUUUUUAAAAUAAAUUAAAUAAUAUUUGGAUGAUUAGAUUGGAACAAGAGUGAUAAGAGUUAUAAUUUUAAAUUAAAAAUAUUUUAUUUAAUUAAUUAAAUAUUAAAAUAUUAAUUAAAUAAUUUAAUAAAUUUAUUACCUAUAAUAUUUUGCAAAAUAAUAUAAUAUAUUAAUUAAUUAAUUAAAUAUAAAAAAUUAACUUUUUAAUUAGUUAGUAAAUUAUUUUAGUUAGGUAACUAGUAAAAAAAAUUAAUUAGAUUAAAAAAAUAUUAAUUAUUGAUCAAUAUAAAUAUUAGUUUAUGGAUAAACACAUUAAAUUAUUAUAAUUAAUUAGCUAAUUAAUUAUAAGUAAUAAAUUAAAUUAAUUAUUUUAUUAUUUAAGCCAUGGAUAAUGAUUUAAAUAUGUUAAUUAGAUUAAUUAAUAAUUUAAUAUUAUAAAUAAAUUUUAAUUUUAAUUUUAAUUAAUCUUGUUCUCAGUUGGAAACAAAUUUGUUUUAGAAAAAAAAGAAGAAUGAAGCAAGAAUUUCAAAUUUAUACCAAAUUAUACCAACUUUAUUUUAAAAAUUCAAAUAUUAUUAUUUUUAAAUAUAAAAAUUUAUAUUUAAAAAUAAA
rnacentral:lncRNA from 1 species